CACGUAGGUGGCGAGCGUUGUCCGGAUUUACUGGGCGUAAAGGGAGCGUAGGCGGACUUUUAAGUGAGAUGUGAAAUACUCGGGCUCAACUUGAGUGCUGCAUUUCAAACUGGAAGUCUAGAGUGCAGGAGAGGAGAAUGGAAUUCCUAGUGUAGCGGUGAAAUGCGUAGAGAUUAGGAAGAACACCAGUGGCGAAGGCGAUUCUCUGGACUGUAACUGACGCUGAGGCUCGAAAGCGUGGGGAGCAAACAGG
rnacentral:rRNA from 1 species